AUUGAACGCUGGCGGCAGGCCUAACACAUGCAAGUCGAGCGGAUGAGGGUAGCUUGCUACCUGAUUCAGCGGCGGACGGGUGAGUAAUGCCUAGGAAUCUGCCUGGUAGUGGGGGACAACGUUUCGAAAGGAACGCUAAUACCGCGUACGUCCUACGGGAGAAAGUGGGGGAUCUUCGGACCUCACGCUAUCAGAUGAGCCUAGGUCGGAUUAGCUAGUUGGUGGGGUAAAGGCUCACCAAGGCGACGAUCCGUAACUGGUCUGAGAGGAUGAUCAGUCACACUGGAACUGAGACACGGUCCAGACUCCUACGGGAGGCAGCAGUGGGGAAUAUUGGACAAUGGGCGCAAGCCUGAUCCAGCCAUGCCGCGUGUGUGAAGAAGGUCUUCGGAUUGUAAAGCACUUUAAGUUGGGAGGAAGGCAGUAAGUUAAUACCUUGCUGUUUUGACGUUACCGACAGAAUAAGCACCGGCUAACUCUGUGCCAGCAGCCG
rnacentral:rRNA from 1 species